CACGUAAGGCGCAAGCGUUGUCCGGAAUUAUUGGGCGUAAAGAGCUCGUAGGCGGUCUGUUGCGUCUGCUGUGAAAACCCGGGGCUUAACCCCUGGCUUGCAGUGGAUACGGACAGACUAGAGGUAGGUAGGGGGGAAUGGAAUUCCCGGUGUAGCGGUGAAAUGCGCAGAUAUCGGGAGGAACACCGGUGGCGAAGGCGGUUCUCUGGGCCUUACCUGACGCUGAGGAGCGAAAGCGUGGGGAGCGAACAGG
rnacentral:rRNA from 1 species